rnacentral:tRNA from 1 species
GCCUCAUUGGCUCAGAGGCAGAGCGUCUGUCUUGUAAAGAGAAGGCCGUUGGUUCGAAUCAAGCAUGAGGCA